UACGAAGGGGGCUAGCGUUGUUCGGAAUCACUGGGCGUAAAGCGCACGCAGGCGGAUUGAUAAGUCAGGGGUGAAAUCCCGGGGCUCAACCUCGGAAUUGCCUUUGAUACUGUCUGUCUUGAGUUCGGGAGAGGUUGGCGGAAUUCCUAGUGUAGAGGUGAAAUUCGUAGAUAUUAGGAAGAACACCAGUGGCGAAGGCGGCCAACUGGCCCGAUACCUGACGCUGAGGUGCGAAAGCGUGGGAGCAAACAGGAUGAGAUACCCGGAG
rnacentral:rRNA from 1 species